AAAUAACUACUUUUUUAUUAAAAUACAUAGAGAUCUGUCUGUAACAAGAAACAAAAACUAUAGCUUUUUUUUUUUUUUUUUGACAUCGAAAGCUCCAUAUAUUAUUAAAAAAACUCCCUGAGGUUGGCCGACUGGGCCAUCCAACUGGGAAGCUGAGAGUUUACAUGGGAGAAAGUGAAACCGCGAGUUCGAGCUCCCUUUGCAAGGAGGUCGGCUCGGAUGUUCAGUGAGCGAGAGAUAAAAGAUAUGGAGCAAAACGUAAACAUAGAACGAAUAAGAUGGAACUCAUCAAAUUCAGCCAACAAUGAUGGCCAUUUGUCUUCGUCGUCUUCUUCUAUGAGAUUGACAAG
rnacentral:lncRNA from 1 species